ACAUACACACACUUUUUGUUACCACUAUUCAGCUUCAUUUAAGAUUUCUUUAGUUCAUGAGCUGAGCUUCAGUGAGGGCCCAUUUUAAAAUCUGGUCUCUGGGCCCACUCCAGCCUACGCCCCUGAUACAACCCCACUGGGUUCAGCAAAACUGGCAAAAGAGAUGUAACAUGCGUAACCCCUGCAGGAUCAGUUAACGGGGUCUGGCAGGAGUUAAGAAACAGAGUUGGAAACAAAAUGCUGUAGGGAGAUAUAAGAGAAGAGAAGAUUCUGAGGGGAGAAGGGAAUAAGGAGGGAAUACUACGGCAAUACAAUAGGAAAAAGCAUACAGCUGAUACAAUAGGCCAAACAAAGGUGUCUCAAAAAUCUUAAAUGUAUAUGUGGCCAAGUGACAGCAUUCAUUAAAAGCAGAUGGAAUGUCUGGGUGCUAAUGGCAGCUGGUUGUCAGAAAGCAGCAGAUAAAUUCAAGCCUUCAUUCUGGAUUAAGCUGCAUAGAUGUGACAGUUGCUAUUUUCCCCAAUCAGCUCAGGACAGUCUACUUUGAUUGGCAGAACCUCUCAAAGCUCUUAUUCAAGCUCCUUUUUCACUAGACAUGCUGAGGACUGAACCUGGGACCUUCUGCACUCAAGCUUUCACUAAACACACCAUUGACAUAUCCACAAUAGCACUCCAUUUCCUUUUCUACUUUUGGAAGACUCGGAAGCAAACACUGAAAGCUGGAUUUUGACCAAAGAAAUACUUAGUAGAAGUAUUUUGUGCAUGGAAUCAAUCUCACUGAAUAUUAUACUCUGGAAUGAGUCUAACAGACUGAACAUUCCAACGUCCUGAAAGGCAUCUUCAGUGGGAUUUUUAAAAGGUACAUUUUGUAACUGAGCUUACCAAGAGAGAUAAAAAAUACUUGUAAUGUCUUUAAUGAUGUAUAAAUAUAUUAAAAUACAG